UAAUGCAAAGCCUAACAUUCGUGAGACCGCUGCCUCCAGCACGUCUCCCGCCGGCGGUGUGAUGGCUCCCAUCGCACCGGGAGGAAACUGAGGCCCAGUGAGCCGGGGGGCGUUUACCCCAGCUGGUGAGGACCGGGCUCUGCACGCGACGCCUCAGCGGCCGCUAGAGUCGGGUAGAAGGCUGCCUCGGACACAGCCCCAAAGCACGCAGCUCCUGGGUCUAGACACAAGUGGCGGCCUGAGCACUGUUCCUUCUGGUGGAAGAUUGCAGACUGCUACAUACCCCUGGCCAGGAGCUGACUUCUUACAGCACCUCUGGGACCUCUGUACAGCAGGAUAUUGUAAUGGGAAACACCCUGGAUGCCCUUCAGUGACCGGUGUAACAAACUGUGGCACAUCCUGAACGUGGAAUACGACUGAGCAAUGAAAAGGAACCAGCUCCUGGUACAGGCACCAACUUGGAUGAAUCUUAAGUGAAUUAUGCCAAGUGAAAAAAGCAAUCCCAAAAAGGUAUCUACCAUACAGCUCUAUUUAUAAAGCAUUCUUGAAAUGGCCUGAUGAUAGAGAUGGGAAACAGGUCAGUGGUUGACAGGGAGAUGAAGGGGAGAGGGGGAUGCGCAGGCUGGGAGGGAGAUGGGUGUGGCUAUAAAAGGGUAACAAGGACCCUACGUGUGCUAAGAAGUGGGACAGAUGGCGGACACAUGAACCCGCACAGCACUGGACCCGAAGUGAGUAACGGGAAAAUGGUGGGAUCUGAGUAAGACCAGCUGGCUGGUGUCUAUAUCCAUACUCUGGUUAUGAUGUUCUGCUAGUUGUGCAAGACUUUACCAUCGAGGGAAACUGGGAAAAGAGCAGAUAGGAUCCUCUGUAUUAUUUCUUACAACCCUGUAAAUGGCAAUCACCUAAAAAUAAAAAAUUUAAAGAGCCAUUCUCUCUGUCGGUUCAUCUGACAGACACGUGUUAGGUCAGGCGCUAUACAGACUCCAGGAAAACUAGGAGCCUCAGCAGAGAACGGGCUGUGAAAUGAGUCCUUGAACAGUAACAGGGGCCACAGUGGAAGAGCCUGGGAGCCAGGAGCUGGGCCUCACGCCUGGGUCUGGAGGUGACAAAGGGUUCUGGGAGCUCUGAGCCAGGAGCACUCAGUUCCCACUCUGCUCAGAAUUUCCCAGUCCUGCUGAAGCCUUGCAAAAACUUCAGGGAUCCCUCCAGACAGACACACCCCGAGUCUCUCCCUACCAGCCUGAGAAGGGCAGCCCAUGGGCGGAAGGAGACAGGCAGCAAGGCAGGCAGAAGGCGGGGCUGUGGCCAGCAGGAGCAUGACCCUUCCACAUACUGCCCUGCAGGAGAAGGGACCGGCCUGCUCGGGGAAGAGGGGGCAGCUGGCCAUAGGCACGGGCUCACGGCCCCAAGCUGGGUCAUUCACUGAGCUGUACUCAGCAGCUUUAUGGCUUUGUAAUUUAAACCUCACAGUGACUCUGAGGUGGGGAUAGGAUUGUGCCCACUUUACAGGUGGGGCAUGUGAGGGUCACAAAGGUCAGAUAACUUACCUAGAGCUGCUGACAUAAGUGGCACCCCCCAUCUGUUCAGCUGCACAGCCUCCCUCACUCUGCUGCUCUGGCUUUAGGCCCCUCCCUGCUAGGAGGGGGCUGCAGGUGUCUGGGGCCCCUGCUGAGCACUGUGCCUCGCAGUGUCCUGCUAGACUCUGGAGUCUGCCUGCGGGGGCAUGUCCAAGCUGAGAUCCAACUGCUGGAGGGAGAAAAGCCUAAAGGCAGAGGCCUGCCUUCUAGGCCCUGGCAAUUACUCAUGGAAGUCCUGGCCCACUCUGGACUCUCCAGUACCUUCCUCUGUUCAGUGGGCGGGGAGGGGUUCUAACCCAUGUAAUACACGAUAUUCACACGGCCCCUGACAAACUCAAAAGCAUUUUCCCAUUCAUUUUCAUUCAAGGGUAGGGGGUUCCUGCUCUGAAUCCCUUCUCUCCACUGCUUGAAAUUCUACCAUUUGCGAGUCAUUUCUUUAGUGGGAAGGAGCCAGAAGACAGAAGGCAAUAGGGAGCCAGACAAGCCUGAGUUCAGAUCCCAGCUCUGUCCUAUACUAACUUGGUGGCCACAGGGAGGGAUUAUACAGGCUACAUCAUAAACAGUAAGGCUCAGGCCCCGGGCUGGCAUGGCUCCUACUAGUUUCUGGUACAGAGUGAGCUAGACCUGGAGUUGGGGGUGGGCAGUGGUGAGCCGCCCUUGGGUCACUGGUUGAACAGGCUGGGCUGGUUCUCUGACCAACCCCAGGGAAGUUUUCCUGAAAGAGCUGGACCUUAAGAGCAGCUCAUUGAAGCCAAUGGCCAACAGCGCCCAGCAGAGCAAGAACUGUGUUCUAAGCCUGGCCGAGGCUGUGGGACCUGUCAGGGUCCUUGUCCCCAUCUGUGACGUGGUCUGUCAUUAGUAUGUGUGUGGGGAAGAGGCGUCCCUGCCAGGGGCUGGUGGGGUGCCCACAGUCAGGAGCUUGGACACAGGACUGACCCUCCAGCCUCUCGCUCAGAGUUGUCUAGGUCCAAAGUCCUGCUGACAUACACUCAGAGGAAAAGUGAACUAGCAAGGGGCCAGGCC